rnacentral:rRNA from 1 species
AGUAACGCGUAAGAACUUGCCCUUUAGACUGGGAUAACAGAGGGAAACUUCUGAUAAUACUGGAUAAGUUAGUAUAUCGCAUGAUAUGCAAAUGAAAGCUACGGCACUAAAGGAGAGCUUUGCGUCCUAUUAGCUAGUUGGUAAGGUAAGAGCUUACCAAGGCGAUGAUAGGUAGCCGGCCUGAGAGGGUGGACGGCCACAAGGGGACUGAGAUACGGCCCUUACUCCUACGGGAGGCAGCAGCC